rnacentral:rRNA from 1 species
UUUGAUCCUGGCUCAGGAUGAACGCUGGCGGCGUGCUUAACACAUGCAAGUCGAACGAAGCACUUGCAGCGGACUGGAGAGCUUGCUCAAAGGGAAGCAGCAUUUGACUGAGUGGCGGACGGGUGAGUAACGCGUGGAUAACCUGCCUCAUACAGGGGGAUAACAGUUGGAAACGGCUGUUAAUACCGCAUAAGCGCACGAAACCGCAUGGUUUUGUGUGAAAAACUCCGGUGGUAUGAGAUGGGUCCGCGUCUGAUUAGCUAGUUGGCAGGGUAACGGCCUACCAAGGCGACGAUCAGUAGCCGGCCUGAGAGGGUGUACGGCCACAUUGGGACUGAGACACGGCCCAAACUCCUACGGGAGGCAACAGUGGGGAAUAUUGCACAAUGGGGGAAACCCUGAUGCAGCGACGCCGCGUGGGUGAAGAAGUAUUUCGGUAUGUAAAGCCCUAUCAGCAGGGAAGAAAAUGACGGUACCUGACUAAGAAGCCCCGGCUAACUACGUG